GCUUCGGAGAGAGAAAUGCUGGGGUGCAGCUUCAAGCUUAGGACCACCCACCAUGCCUAUCCAGGUGCUGAAGGGCCUGACCAUCACUCAUUAAGAACAGAGGAGGCUGCCUGUUACUCCUGGUGUUGACACUCUGCUGUUUCCUGCCUAGGCGUGGCUGCAGCCAUGGCUAGGAAAGCGCUGCCACCCACCCACCUGGGCCAGAGCUGGUUCUGCUCCUGCUGCAGGGACACUGAGCUGGCUAUCUCGGCGCUUCGGGCAAGAACUGCAACAGGCUCUCCUGGGUCCUGCAGGUGUACAGCCGGGCCCCUGCCUUGUGCCUCAGCUCUCGAGAGCUGCUGCUGCCGGGUGACCUGAUCCAACCUGAUAAGGUGCCAUCUUCAGCUACCACUGCAAGGCCCUGAGGGCAACAGCAGCACGGCACUGCCCACCCGGCUGCUGAUGGCCUGGUGCCAGCUGGGAGUCCUCCCGGCACUUCGAGGCCACUGAGCCACCCUUCCAGCCCCAGCCCACCAUGGACAGGGGUAUCCAGCUUCCUCCUCAACCUCGUCCUCUGCCCCUGAGCCAGUGACGCCCAAGGACAUGCCUGUUACCCAGGUCCUGUACCAGCACUAGCUGGUCAAGGGCAUGACAGUGCUGGAGGCCGUCUUGGAGAUCCAGGCCAUCACUGGCAGCAGGCUGCUCUCCAUGGUGCCAGGGCCCGCCAGGCCACCAGGCUCAUGCUGGGACCCAACCCAGUGCACAAGGACUUGGCUGCUGAGCCACACACCCAGGAGAAGGUGGAUAAGUGGGCUACCAAGGGCUUCCUGCAGGCUAGGGGAGGAGCCACCCCCGCUUCCCUAUUGUGACCAGGCCUAUGGGGAGGAGCUGUCCAUACGCCACCGUGAGACCUGGGCCUGGCUCUCAAGGACAGACACCGCCUGGCCUGGUGCUCCAGGGGUGAAGCAGGCCAGAAUCCUGGGGGAGCUGCUCCUGGUUUGAGCUGCAUUCAGGAAGUGCGGGACAUGGUAGGGGAGGCAAAAAGCCUUGGGCACUACCCUCCCUGUGGAGCUGUUCGGUGUCCGUCGAGCUAGCCACACCCUGACACCAUGUUCAAGGGUACCGGAAGAGAAGGGUGUCUGCCCCCAACCUCCCCUGUGGGUGUCACUGGCCAGAUGUCAUGAGGGAAGCAGGCCUUGUGAGUGGACACUGACCAUGAGUCCCUGGGGGGAGUGAUCCCCCAGGCAUCGUGUGCCAUGUUGCACUUCUGCCCAGGCAGCAGGGUGGGUGGGUACCAUGGGUGCCCACCCCUCCACCACAUGGGGCCCCAAAGCACUGCAGGCCAAGCAGGGCAACCCCACACCCUUGACAUAAAAGCAUCUUGAAGCUUUUA
ensembl:lncRNA C19orf48P multidrug resistance-related protein